rnacentral:lncRNA from 10 species
UGCUGAAACAGUUGUUACGGAGGCCUGUGUUAGUGACAGCUGGCCUGCCACAGCACCUCUUUGUUGCUUCAUCUGUGACCGAAGAGGACGAGUGAGGAGUAGGACCCUUGCGAAGGUUUUAGAUGCAAGCUUAGGAGGAUGAGGGGCGCUGUCCGAGGUCUGAGAGGCAGCCCGCACCCUUUGCCUCUGAAAUAACUACUUUUUGGAGGUGCCAGAGGAGAGAAUCGGUGGAGCGCCCUCCUGGAGUGGGAUCACAGCACCACCCAAGCCUAGAAUCGUCAUCUUCUGGGUGAUGGAGUGGUCCUAAAAUGCAGCAUCAGCAUCUCCUUGGAGGUUAGAAACUCUUGGAUUCCUGAGACAUUUUGAUUCUGCAGGUCUAAUGGGGUCGGACUCUCUUUCUGUCUAAGCUCUGAUGAUAAUCUCCCUUCUUUUUUGUUUUUUUGUUUUUUGAAACAGUCUCUCUCUGUCACCCAGGCUGAUAAUCUCCUUUCUUUUUCUUUCUCUUUCCUUCUUUCUUUCUUUCUUUCUUUCUUUCUUUCUUUCUUUCUUUCUUUCUUUCUUUCUUUCUUUCUUUCUUUCCUUCUUCCUUCCUUCCUUCCUUCCCUCCCUCCUUCCUCCUCCACCUCCUCCUCCCCCUUCCUUCCUUCCUUCCUUCUUCCCUCCCUCCCUCCCUGCCUCUCUCUCUCUCUUUCUUUCUUUCUCUCUCUCUCUUUCUUUCUUCCUUUCUUUUGAAACAGUCUCUCUCUGUCACCCAAGCUGGAGUGCAGUGGCACCAUCUCAGUAUUUCCUGGGUUCAAGCAAUUCUUGUGCCUUAGCCUCCCGAGUGGCUGGGAUUACAAGUGUGCGCCACUGGGCCUGGCCUGAUGAUAAUCUCCCUCCUUUCUGAGAUUAUCUGGCCUCCUGGGUUCCUGGCCACAGCUGUGUCUUCAUGGCUCUUGGCCACUUUGUGGGAGCUUUGCUUUGUUUCUAUUCACUGUCUCUCACCUUCAGGCAGUGGAGUGUGGACAUGGGCAGGACCCUUUUGGCUGCUGGGCCUCUAAACUCCCUUCCCUGCAACAUAUAAAAGCCUGGGUAUGUUGAAAAAUGUUUUUGGCUUAUUUGUUUUUGCUUUUAUUCUGAGGAAAUAGAAGUUUAUGCCCAGAACCCAAACAACUUUGUCUGGAAUAUUAGACACUGUGUACUCUUUGGCUCACUGUUGGGCCAAAUUGCGUCCCUUCCUCCACCAAAGGAAAAAAAAGGUAUGUGGAGUCCCAACCUCCUCAGAAUGUGACCUUAUAGGGUCUUUACAGUGGUAAUCAAGUUAAAAUGAGGUCAUUUGGUGGGCUGUGGUCUGAUAUGACUGAUGUCUUUAUAAGAAGAGGAAGUUUGGACACAGGCAAGCACACGGGGAGAGUGCCAUUUAAACGUGAAGACGGGCAACAACCCAAAUGAGAGAAUGUGAUUGUAUUUGGAGAUGGAGCCUUUGAAGAUGUGAUGGAGGUAAAUUGAGCCACCAGGAUGUGCCCUAAUCCAAUCUGACUGUGCUUACAAGAAGAGGAAAUUUAGAAACAUAGAGAAACACCAGGGAUACAGGCACAGAGAAAGGACCGUGGGAGGACACAGCAAGAGGGCGGCCAUCUGCAAACCAGGGAGCAAGGCCUUAGAGGAAACCAGCCCUGCAGGCACCUUGAUCUUGGACUUCCAGCCUCCAGAACUGUGAGAAAACACAUUUCUGUUGUUUAAGCUGCCCUGUCUGUAGUAUUUUGCUAUGAAAGCCCUAGACAACUAAGAUAACAGCUGAGACCAAAGAGUUAUGCUGAGGCAAAAUGUAAUUUUUUUAAAAGAAUGAAAAUGUUACAAAGGAUUUUCACUUAGCAAGGGUAACAGGAAUAAUAUUUUGAAUUAUUGAAUGGAUGCGUUUUUCAUACCCCCGUAAAUCCUGUUCUUCCACAGCCUUCCGCCAUUAGGGCUAAGCCAUAAACUGCAGGGUGGGUGAGGAUGGGCAGUGCCUGGAAUAAAAAGGUCAUUGAUGGCUUUGGUUUGCAAAGCUGACUUCAUUGACUCCAUAUUGAAAUAACAGUUUUGAAAUGCAGACUUUAUGGGGAGAGAUAAUGUUUAUUUUCUGAAUUUUAAA